rnacentral:rRNA from 1 species
GCGUGAGUGAAGAAGGCCUUAGGGUUGUAAAGCUCUUUCAGCAGGGACGAUAAUGACGGUACCUGCAGAAGAAGCCCCGGCUAACUCCGUGCCAGCAGCCGCGGUAAGACGGAGGGGGCUAGCGUUGUUCGGAAUUACUGGGCGUAAAGCGCGCGUAGGCGGCGCAUUAAGUCAGAGGUGAAAGCCCGGGGCUCAACCCCGGAAUUGCCUUUGAGACUGGUGUGCUUGAGUACGGAAGAGGUGAGUGGAAUUCCCAGUGUAGAGGUGAAAUUCGU